rnacentral:misc_RNA from 1 species
AUUCCUCAGCCCAUCUAGAUUUGUUUUUCUUUUCUGGGUGGAGCUGGCUGUGGAGGUUGCUGGCCUUUUAAUUAAUGUCUGCUCCUCUUAAAUGCAUCAGUGUGAAUGUUAUCAAAUAUUCCCCAGUGUAAUAAUUUAUUUGCACUGUUGGUACUUUGGUAGAUCAUUUGUUCAUGCUUCCAACAGUCCUUUAUUUGGACAAUAUUUAUCUUUGC